AGGUGGUCAUAAAGGCCAUUGUACUGAGCUCCAGAAGAUAGAAUGGAUGCAAACAACUGCAAUGAAGGCACACCAGACCUCCAUAGUUGCGGAGCACAUGACUUUGACCACGAGUCAUCAUGAGAUGCCAGGGCUGCUGAGGCUCUGGACCGGCUGCAGAGUUUCCUUUGGUGGUUUGGCCAAUGACUUCUCUUCAACCUCAUCCUAAGAUGGGAAAAGCUCACCUAUCACAGACUCACAGACUUCAAAUGUCCUUUUCAACUAUGUAAAAAACUAUUAAACUUUGGUCUCCAAGAAGUGUAUCUUCAUUAGCAGGACUUUAAAAGAUGAUUCCAUAGCUGCACUCAUGGACUUCGGCAAUGCUUGCCUUUGGUUCUGCUUCAUUAUUCUCUCUCUACCUUUGGCCCUACUCAGGAUCCAUACUUUCAAGCCCC
rnacentral:lncRNA from 1 species